AGCCCGGUCGUCUAGCGGCCAAACUAUGCUGGUCAGAUAACCCGGGGACGCCGGUUCGAAUCCGGCCCGGGCUA
rnacentral:tRNA from 1 species